UCCGUAUUAUUCUAUCUUUAUCCGGAUUUAUUGGGUUUAAAGGGUGCGUAGGUGGUUAAUUAAGUCAGCGGUGAAAGUUUGUGGCUCAACCAUAAAAUUGCCGUUGAAACUGGUUGACUUGAGUAUAUUUGAGGUAGGCGGAAUGCGUGGUGUAGCGGUGAAAUGCAUAGAUAUCACGCAGAACUCCGAUUGCGAAGGCAGCUUACUAAACUAUAACUGACACUGAAGCACGAAAGCGUGGGGAUCAA
rnacentral:rRNA from 1 species